GCCGGGCGCGGCGCGGACCAGCACCGCCACCACCCAGCGCCCUCCGCGCCGCUCCGCUCUUUGUUGUCGGGCGCUGAGCACUGCCGGGCUCUGACGCUUAUUUGCGAUCGCCAGUUGUGGCGUGCGCCUGUUGUCCGCUGGCUGCCCCUCUUCGCCGUCCUUGUGUUGCACCCCCCUCCCCGGCGUUCCCGAAAGCAGGCCCGCUCCCGGCUGCCAGCCUUCAGCUGAGCACGGGGGUGGGGGCGGACGGGGAAGGUGUCGUUUUUUUUUGAGGCGGUUGUUUUAGUUCGGCGGGGAGGGCCGAGGUGGGCGGGCACCGCCGUCCUUUGUCUCCUGCCUGCCGCAGGAGGAGCUCGCGGUCCCGGGCCGGCGUCAGAAGCUCCGCACCCGCCUGCCACGCAGCGAGCGGCGCUGGAGGCAGCCAGCGCGCCCGGCCCGCUAACCACAACGGGCGCCGCGGCUCGAAGGGACUCGUCCCUCAGACAAUCGGCGGCGAGGCCAGCCGCGGCUGCGGGGAGCUGCUGCGAGUGCGCCUGGGGCGGCUGCGGGGCUUGGGUGGCGGGGGAGCUGCCCCCGGAGCCUCCCUCGCCACUGAGCCGUGUGGGCCCGAGAGUAAGACUUAACCGCGGAGUCCUGAGAAACUACAAGGCAGCACUUCCAGGAUCAGCCGCAGUCCCCGGGCCCGCAGGCUCUCCGGAGGCGCUGUCGCCGAGAGGCUGGCGUAGGGGCAGCAGCUGGCGAGGGGAGUAGCGGCCCCGGUAGUGCUACGGGCUUUUUGCAUCCCGAGCGCUGUGGAAGUGAGGGCAGACCUCAACUGCCACCGUGUUUCAGGCUGCACGGGCCUUAAAGCCCAGUUUGUGGCCUCUGGCACCAGGCUGGCUUGCUGGAGGUUCCAUCUCCGCAGCGUGACUGCAGACGCUGUGCCCCCUUGCCUUGCCACUUGCACCUCUCUGUUUCCUAACAGUUACAAGGGAAAGAACACAUCACACGUAACUGCUGGAACAUAAUUUCACCGGUAUCUUGCAUGCGUUUUGCUGGACCUCUACAAGAUAUGUCACCCCUGCCUCUUCGGAACUUGCAUAUCCAACUCACUUUCCUUCACACCUGCUUGACCCCUCAACCAGUAAAAACAGCUUUCACGUCAAGUACCCUGUCACCUUUCCAUCUGAUGACUGGAUAUGAAAGUAUCCUCACCUCCUCGUAAAAACACCACCACUGCCUUUUGUUUCUCCAGCAAUUCUCUCUAUCUACGACCACUCACAUUUGCUUAGUCCUUGCCAGCUGUCGGGUACAAGCGACUUGACUUUUUCUCACUUUAGAAAACAACCAAACAGUAAAUGUUUUUCCAGUAUGAAGUUUGACAGGGACAGACGUUUACAAGUGCACACAGAUUUGUUUAGCCAGCUGCCUGUAUAAACAAGUGUAACAAGUCACAGUCUUUUUAAUCUCCAGGACUCUACAAUCUGGGAGACAGAAAAUAACUGUUCCCACUUACCAGCCAGAGGCAAAACAGGAGACAGACGAGGGAAAGAGACGUCAGAAUGGAGGCUUACUGUUGUUAGGUCCAGCACUGAAGGUCAUAAAUACUGAAAUGUGAAGAUGGGAAA